rnacentral:misc_RNA from 1 species
AUUCCAUGAUAGUAGUUGCUUGUGUCAUGGCUUCGGUUGUCUCGAUAUUUGCAUGCGAAACGUCAAAUCGAUACUGUAUGUAUAUGUGCUAAUUGAUUUGAUGAAUAAAUUACUGAUCGAAUACAGAAGUGCGCACAUGUGUUCGACGGCCUAUCGCGUGUUCUCGCUGUAAUCGAAAAAAUAGUAAACACGUCGAAGGAAAUGAUGCCGGUAAAGCAAUGAGCCAUUUACAAAUUUGCGAAUUAACGAUAGAUUGAAGUCGGCGCGGAAGCAUCGGCAGGAAUAAAUAAAUUUCUCGCGGACGGAGUUGUGUCUAUGGGAUACAAUAUUGCCAACUGGGAGAUGAUUCGCACGAGAGAGGAAUUCGCGGAGAAAUUGGGUUUUGACGGCGUCGAGGAUCAACACAUCAUGAACAACAUGGUAGACGCGAGAGCUUGUUACAAACCUAGCGGUAAAUCAUGGUUCCGCGGUGUGCGAAGCAGCAAGUUUCGGCACGUUUACGGUGUGCCAGCGAAAAGGGAGAAAUGCUACGACAACAUCAAGAUCACGAAGAACGCUCACGAUUCGCAGUUUUGCGCCAUAAAUCCGAAGUUUCUGGCCGUUGUGACGGAAGUAGCAGGCGGUGGAGCAUUCCUGGUGUUAUCAUUGGAUCGUACUGGCCGCCUCGACUUCAAUGCCAGCCGAGUAACUGGACAUACCGGUCCCGUUUUGGACAUCAAGUGGAAUCCAUUCAACGAUAACAUCAUUGCAUCAUGUUCCGACGAUUGCACUAUAAAACUGUGGCACGUGCCCGACGGCGGAUUAUCGAGAAAUUUGACUGACUGGUUGGUGGAGCUGCAAGGACACAAACGGCGUGUCGCUUAUAUCGAAUGGCAUCCGGUAGCGGAAAACGUGCUCUUCAGCGCCGGCUUCGAUCAUCUUGUUAUUGUGUGGGAUGUCAACAGAUGCGAGGCGGUGAGCAUCAUCGACAGGCAUCCCGAUGUGAUUUACAGCAUAUCCCUAAAUCGCGACGGCAGCUUACUAGCCACCACUUGCAAAGACAAGAAGUUGCGCGUUUUUGAGCCGAGAUCCGGCAUCGUUGUCUCGGAAGGGGUGUGUCACGCCGGCACGAAAGCGAGCAAGGUGGUAUUCCUCGGCAGUUCUGGGCGUCUCUUGACCACUGGAUUUAGCAGACAUUCGGACCGACAAUACGCGAUAUGGAGUCAACAUGACCUGACCGUCCCCCUGACGUGUGAAACGAUAGACUCAUCGAGCGGGGUGGUUUUCCCGUUUUACGAUAACGAUACCAAUAUGGUAUUUUUAGCCGGGAAGGGUGAUGGCAAUAUUCGCUAUUACGAGGUGGUUAACGAGGCACCUUGGAUGCACUACCUUAGCCAAUUUAUAUCCGGAAAUCCUCAGAGAGGGUUGGGAGUAAUGCCGAAAAGAGGCAUCAGCACAUCCAUGUGCGAAGUGUUUAGAUUUUACAAAUUACACGCAACUCGCGGAAUGUGCGAGCCGAUCUCGAUGAUAGUACCUCGAAAGAGUGAUCAGUUCCAAGAGGAUUUGUAUCCCGAUACAAUUGGAACGUGUCCCGCACUAUCGGCCAGAGAUUGGAUCAGCGGUAUGAACAGCCCGCCAAUCUUAAUUUCUCUCAAGACAGGUGGCAGCAUCUCCACGCAUAAACCACGAAUAUACAAGCCGCCGCAGCUGCCCGCGGCGACCGAUCUGAACAACAAGAAGAAAUUUGCGUUUUUAUCUACGGAAACCAUACCGGAUUACAGGCCGGUAGAAUUGCACAAUAUGUCUGAGAAAAGUCAGAAGACGUCUAGCAAUCAGAGCACAAAGUUUCAGCAGCUUCAGCAGAAGUUCGGAAACGUUGUUAUACAGAAGAAUAUUAUAUCAUCUCCGCUUAAUGACAAUAAAGUAAUGGAGACUGUGGAUGUUCCGAACAAUGAGGCGGAACUUCGACUGGCGUUCGCUCGUCAGACCGACGAGUUGAGACUAGUGCGACGGCAGCUCGCCAACAGUCAACUGCGCGUCAAGGAAUUGGAGGACCAAAUACGAAAGUUGCAGCACCAGUAGAAGCGAGAACGUUACAGGCGCCUCGAUAUACCGGCUUUGCCGAGCAAGACUUGCUUCACGGCUAAGCGUGACUAGCGAGCCAAUACUGGAAAUUUAUAGAGUAUUUAUGUACCGCUAAACAUAUAGUAACAAGGAGCCUAAGCUUUCGAGAAUUUUAUCCUAACGCGCUUAGGACGUCAGCUCUAUGAUACUCAUACAUAAAAAGAAUGACAUUUGUCGAGUCGAGUUUAACACAUUGGCCACAAAGAAGGGAAAGGAAGCGAAGGGCCCCGCAUUUGUUAUGUGAAAAUUGUACCUGUUCGCACACAUGCCUGGAUGCGUAAGUUGGAUAUUUGCGUGUAUACGUGCAGAAUUGUAUAUGAGUAAGGAAUGAGGAGAAGCACAAUAUCUUUUUUAGAACGGCAGCAUAAAAGUAAUUUCAUAUAUAUUGUCAAUUAGAUAACAUUUUAUUUUGAGAAUGAUAUCAUUUGUUGAUACUAGUCUGUUAAUUGAUUGUUAACUUCUAUUGCCGUUUCAUUUAUUGAUUAUUUAAGUCUUUAAUAUAUUAUUUAAUAUAUUGCUUAAUCCUUAGAGAGAGAAAAAACUUUGGAGGACAAGUAUUUCUUUACGUACUAUCAUGUUGGAAGAAUAUUUCUUUUGUUUAUAUCUUUGCAACGAGUAAACUAAUUUCGUUGCUGAUCUAUUGCAUUAAUAAAUGUCACGCUAUAUUCUACAAUACUGCAACGCUAUUACUUAUAUCGUGCGAAUAAACUAGCGCAUUAGUGCACUAAGUAUUUUGCUAUCGCGUGUAUCUUUCACUGCCAUCUAUACACUGCCGUGAUGUCGAUGGCAAUAAUAAAAUCUUUAAAUCUAUUAACAGCAGUGAGAUAAUACUUAAUAAAUGUUGUGAAUACUUGCGAAUUAUUUUAAUCGCUUUUUACACGAGAAACGCAAUAAAUAAUAAACUCGCGGUGUGACGUACGCGCAGCGAGAUCAUUAGACAGCGUAUAGCCUUAAAGGGAAUAGCGAAUGUACUAAAACAUUUAUUUCUCUAGCAUUAAUCUCUCGCAAUUUGGAGAAUUAUGCCAAAUUAUAUAUUUGCUUGACAACAAUAAUCAAAUCAUGUGUGUGUGUAACGAUUUAUACGUUUAUAUAUGUAUUUUUCAUACACAGUGUGUAAUUAUAUCGUGAGUCGACAAAUAUAGUACCUGGAUACUACACUUCACAUAUCGCUUGUGAUCAAGUGAGUGUAAAAUUUCGUUAUUCGUAAAAAAAAAAACAAACAAAUAUAGUAAGCGUAAGUCCUGGAAUUUACUGAUAUAGCAGCAUCUAACGUAGCAUUUCCCUAGUCUCUUUCUUCAUCAAUUAUUUACUUAAUCGCCAUUAGCUUUAAACAUUUUUUGGUCCACACACAAAUAAUAUGUCUAAAUUAAAAUCUUCUCUUAGAAACGAUGUACAAUUGUCACUUGGAAAAUACGGAGCUACCUACGUGCGUUAUAUUAGUGAUACACACAUUGCGUAGUUUGUAGAUAUAUUUUCGAUAUUUAUACCCAAAGCAAUUUUCAUGAUAUUUAUAAAAUAAAACAAUAACGAUCCACCUGCGUGAUGAACGUUAAGAUACGACAUUUCGCUACGAAUUAUAUAAAUUUGCUUGCGAUGCAUCAAGACUUGUAUGUCAUAUUUAUCAAUCAAAUAUACUGUCGAGACCCAGUCGUGUGAUACCGCGCACUAAACAGAAAUACCAAAGAGUGUUGUUAUCUCACACAGAUUACAGGCGAAUUUACUGUCGCGUGUCAACUGCUGAAUGAAUUUAUACACAGAACAUCAAAAAUUAUAUGUAUACCACAAGCAGGGAUCUCAGUAAUAAAAAAGAAACAUUUAGUCA